GUGGGGAAUAUUGGGCAAUGGGCGCAAGCCUGACCCAGCAACGCCGCGUGAAGGAAGAAGGCUUUCGGGUUGUAAACUUCUUUUACCAGGGACGAAACAAAUGACGGUACCUGGUGAAUAAGCCACGGCUAACUACGUGCCAGCAGUCGCGGUAAUACGUAGGUGGCGAGCGUUAUCCGGAUUUAUUGGGUUUAAAGGGCGUGUAGGCGGGACAGCAAGUCAGAUGUGAAAACCAGACGCUCAACCUCUGGCCUGCAUUUGAAACUGUUGUGCUUGAGUGUCGUAGAAGUAAUAUGAAUUCCGUGUGUAGCGGUGAAAUGCUUAGAUAUACGGAGGAACACCAGUGGCGAAGGCGGAUUACUGGACGAUAACUGACGCUGAGGCGCGAAAGCGUGGGGAGCAAACAGGAUUAGAUACCCCUGUAGUCC
rnacentral:rRNA from 1 species